rnacentral:rRNA from 1 species
CAGUCGAGCGGUACCAGAGAGCUUGCUCUCGGGUGACGAGCGGCGGACGGGUGAGUAAUGUCUGGGAAACUGCCUGAUGGAGGGGGAUAACUACUGGAAACGGUAGCUAAUACCGCAUAACGUCGCAAGACCAAAGUGGGGGACCUUCGGGCCUCAUGCCAUCAGAUGUGCCCAGAUGGGAUUAGCUGGUAGGUGGGGUAACGGCUCACCUAGGCGACGAUCCCUAGCUGGUCUGAGAGGAUGACCAGCCACACUGGAACUGAGACACGGUCCAGACUCCUACGGGAGGCAGCAGUGGGGAAUAUUGCACAAUGGGCGCAAGCCUGAUGCAGCCAUGCCGCGUGUGUGAAGAAGGCCUUCGGGUUGUAAAGCACUUUCAGCGGGGAGGAAGGCGGUGAGGUUAAUAACCUCAUCGAUUGACGUUACCCGCAGAAGAAGCACCGGCUAACUCCGUGCCAGCAGCCGCGGUAAUACGGAGGGUGCAAGCGUUAAUCGGAAUUACUGGGCGUAAAGCGCACGCAGGCGGUCUGUCAAGUCGGAUGUGAAAUCCCCGGGCUCAACCUGGGAACUGCAUUCGAAACUGGCAGGCUAGAGUCUUGUAGAGGGGGGUAGAAUUCCAGGUGUAGCGGUGAAAUGCGUAGAGAUCUGGAGGAAUACCGGUGGCGAAGGCGGCCCCCUGGACAAAGACUGACGCUCAGGUGCGAAAGCGUGGGGAGCAAACAGGAUUAGAUACCCUGGUAGUCCACGCUGUAAACGAUGUCGAUUUGGAGGUUGUGCCCUUGAGGCGUGGCUUCCGGAGCUAACGCGUUAAAUCGACCGCCUGGGGAGUACGGCCGCAAGGUUAAAACUCAAAUGAAUUGACGGGGGGCCCGCACAAGCGGUGGAGCAUGUGGUUUAAUUCGAUGCAACGCGAAGAACCUUACCUGGGUCUUGACAUCCACAGAACUUUACCAGAGAUGCUUUGGGUGCCUUCCGGGAACUG